AUUGAACGCUGGCGGCAGGCCUAACACAUGCAAGUCGAGCGGAUGAAGGGAGCUUGCUCCUGGAUUCAGCGGCGGACGGGUGAGUAAUGCCUAGGAAUCUGCCUGGUAGUGGGGGAUAACGUCCGGAAACGGGCGCUAAUACCGCAUACGUCCUGAGGGAGAAAGUGGGGGAUCUUCGGACCUCACGCUAUCAGAUGAGCCUAGGUCGGAUUAGCUAGUUGGUGGGGUAAAGGCCUACCAAGGCGACGAUCCGUAACUGGUCUGAGAGGAUGAUCAGUCACACUGGAACUGAGACACGGUCCAGACUCCUACGGGAGGCAGCAGUGGGGAAUAUUGGACAAUGGGCGAAAGCCUGAUCCAGCCAUGCCGCGUGUGUGAAGAAGGUCUUCGGAUUGUAAAGCACUUUAAGUUGGGAGGAAGGGCAGUAAGUUAAUACCUGGCUGUUUUGACGUUACCAACAGAAUAAGCGCCGGCUAACUUCGU
rnacentral:rRNA from 1 species